AAACGAUGCCACCAGCGAUUAGCCUGAGUUCCUUAAAUGACUCGGCUAGCAGCUUCCGGGAAACCAAAAUGUUUCGGUUCCGGGGGAAGUAUGGUUGCAAAGCUGAAACUUAAAGGAAUUGACGGAAGGGCACCACCAGGAGUGGAGCCUGCGGCUUAAUUUGACUCAACACGGGAAAACUUACCCGGCCCGGACACUGGAAGGAUUGACAGAUUGAGAGCUCUUUCUUGAUUCAGUGGGUGGUGGUGCAUGGCCGUUCUUAGUUGGUGGAGCGAUUUGUCUGGUUAAUUCCGAUAACGAACGAGACUCUAGCCUACUAAAUAGACUGUUCAGCUUUAUAGCCGGAAUCACCGGGCGUGUAGCUCCUCACGGGGUUGCGCGUUCGGCUCUGGUGACGUUGACAGUGCUUCUUAGAGGGACAGGCGGCGGUUCAGCCGCACGAAACAGAGCAAUAACAGGUCUGUGAUGCCCUUAGAUGUCCGGGGCUGCACGCGCGCUACACUGAAGUGAUCAGCGUGCAAUUUACGUUUGGUGAUCUGUCAAGAUUGCCCAACCCGUUGAACCUUCUUCGUGAUUGGGAUAGGGGAUUGUAAUUAUUCCCCUUGAACGAGGAAUUCCCAGUAAGCGCAAGUCAUAAGCUUGCGUUGAUUACGUCCCUGCCCUUUGUACACACCGCCCGUCGCUACUACUGAUUGAAUGAAUUAGUGAGGUCUUCGGACUGGCCUGUGCUGGCUGUU
rnacentral:rRNA from 1 species